rnacentral:rRNA from 1 species
CCUACGUGAGUCAGCAGUGGGGAAUAUUGCGCAAUGGGCGAAAGCCUGACGCAGCGACGCCGCGUGAGGGAUGAAGGUCUUCGGAUCGUAAACCUCUGUCAGCAGGGAAGAACGGUCACUGUGCUAAUCAGCAGUGAAUUGACGGUACCUGCAACGGAAGCACCGGCUAACUCCGUGCCAGCAGCCGCGGUAAUACGGAGGGUGCGAGCGUUAAUCGGAGUUACUGGGCGUAAAGCGCUCGUAGGCGGUAUGUCAAGUCAAGGGUGAAAUCCCCGCGCUCAACGUGGGAACUGCCUUUGAAACUGGCAAACUGGAGUGUGUGAGAGGAUAGUGGAAUUCCAGGUGUAGGAGUGAAAUCCGUAGAUAUCUGGAGGAACAUCAGUGGCGAAGGCGACUAUCUGGCACAUAACUGACGCUGAGGAGCGAAAGCGUGGGUAGCAAACAGGAUUAGAUACCCUAGUAGUC